UACAGAGGUCCCGAGCGUUGUUCGGAUUCACUGGGCGUAAAGGGUGCGUAGGUGGUGGGGCAAGUCUGAUGUGAAAUCUCCAAGCUCAACUUGGAAAAGGCAUUGGAAACUGCCCCGCUUGAGGAGUGGAGGGGGGACUGGAAUUCUCGGUGUAGCAGUGAAAUGCGUAGAGAUCGAGAGGAACACCAGUGGCGAAGGCGAGUCCCUGGACACUUCCUGACACUGAGGCACGAAAGCUAGGGGAGCAAACAGG
rnacentral:rRNA from 1 species